UUUUUUGGGACUAACCUAUUAACUUAGUGCCAAGUGCCAGUUGCUAUUUUUUGCCCGUUUUUGGUUUUCUAGGAAAUCAGUACCAAACAAAGUCCAAAUGCCAAGAAACUUUUUGACAAUUUUUUUCUAGACAAAAGAGACACUAGAAGCUUCGGGAGAAGACCAGACGUGCAACGAGAAGGCCACAAGGUACUAGGGCGCGCCCAGGGGUAGGCGCGCCCUAGUACCUUGUGGCCCCCCUGUGGCUCCGUUUGACCUAAUUCCACCUUUGUAAAUUCUCCAAAAUCGGGAAACCAACAUAGAACCACCCAAAAUACUUUUUCCGCCGCCGCAAGUUUUUGUUCUUUGGAGAUCCCAUCUGGAGGCCUUUUCCGAUACUCUACCGGAGGGGGAAUCGACCACGGAGGGGUCUACAUCAACCUUGCCGCCCUUCCGAUGAUGGGUGAGUAGUUUACCACAGACCUACAUGUCCAUAGCUAGUAGCUAGAUGGCUUCUUCUCUCUCUUUGAUCUUCAAUAUAAUGUACUCCUCGAUGUUCUUGGAGAUCUAUUCGAUGUAAUCUUCUUUUGCGGUGUGUUUAUUGGGAUCCGAUGAAUUGUGGGUUUAUGAUCAGAUUGUCUAUGAAUAUUAUUGGAGUCUUCUUUGAACUCUUUUGUGCAUGAUUUUAUAGCUUUGUAUUUCUCUCCGAUCUAUCUAUUUGGUUUGGCCAACUAGAUUGAUUUAUCUUGCAAUGGGAGAGGUGCUGUGUAAUGGGUUCAAUCUUGCAGUGCUCUAUAUCCAGUGACAGAAAGGGACAAGACACGUAUUUUUAUUGUUUCCAUUAAGGGGAAAAUGAUGGAUUUUAU
rnacentral:lncRNA from 1 species